rnacentral:rRNA from 1 species
AGUGAACGCUGGCGGUAGGCCUAACACAUGCAAGUCGAACGGCAGCACAGUAAGAGCUUGCUCUUACGGGUGGCGAGUGGCGGACGGGUGAGGAAUACAUCGGAAUCUACUUUUUCGUGGGGGAUAACGUAGGGAAACUUACGCUAAUACCGCAUACGACCUACGGGUGAAAGCAGGGGAUCUUCGGACCUUGCGCGAUUGAAUGAGCCGAUGUCGGAUUAGCUAGUUGGCGCGGUAAAGGCCCACCAAGGCGACGAUCCGUAGCUGGUCUGAGAGGAUGAUCAGCCACACUGGAACUGAGACGCGGUCCAGACUCCUACGGGAGGCAGCAGUGGGGAAUAUUGGACAAUGGGCGCAAGCCUGAUCCAGCCAUACCGCGUGGGUGAAGAAGGCCUUCGGGUUGUAAAGCCCUUUUGUUGGGAAAGAAAAGCAGCAGGUUAAUACCCCGCUGUUCUGACGGUACCCAAAGAAUAAGCACCGGCUAACUUCGUG